UUAGUCCACUUGGAAGAAGGGCUAUUGCCAGUACAAAUCUAAUGCUGUCUCUGACUGGCAAUGAAAUACAUCUAUAAACCAGUAUGGCUGUCUCAUUUGACCCUCUGCUUUGAGAUACCAAAGGGAAUGCUUGCCCUGUAUAUGCUGCUGGAGGAGGCAGGGCACCUGAUGCUUCAGCCUGAAAGUUCUGGAAUCAGCCUGCCACAGGGAAGCAGAGUCCACCUCCCUGCUGGGCAACUUACCAGGAAUAGACUCAUAACAGAGGCAUUUUUAUGCCAUUGGAGAAGGAAAUGACAACCCACUCCA